AAAUUAAACACGAAACCACGACUGUGCUGAAUUCAUGGGAGGAAAUCCCCCAUGUUGGAAAUAAACUGCAUAGUUCGUGCUCACUGGAUCUUAAAGAAACACCAUCCCAGGCAUCGCGGACUUACAGGGGAAAACGCGCCAUGGUUGAUGGCAUUAACGAUCACGAUUUAUUUUAUUUUUGGAAGCGAAUGUUUAGAAGUGCAACACACAUCGCUGGUAAAGUAUCUUGCGCGGAGGUGAUUUUGCUUGGCAGACACAGAGAAGACCACUUAGAUGUCCCCAGCAUUCGGGUACUUAGGCUAACACUUUGCAUCAUGAGCACGACAGAAAGGAUUACGUACAACAUCAUAAAAAGUCUGCUCUUAUGCUGUGCUCCUCGUUACUUGUGUCGUGUGUGAAGGGGUCGGUUGCUAUCUUUGGUUAUCUAGCUGUAUGAGUGUUUCUCCUCCGUCAUAAAGCUAGAUAACCGAAAGUAGGAGCGGUCUCCUGUACUGCGCACUGCUCUUGUGUCUAGGGCAUGGGCAGGAAAAAUACUGACCUCUGCGUGCAGAAAUAUCAUAGGGAAGCUCCUUCCUGACCGCAGAGUUUGCUUGAGAGACAGGACCACCAUGCAUUGGUACAACACUACGUGCCUCCUCCCUCCAUCAACGGAAGCAUUCGGUGCCAUGUGUGCCCCCCGGAGCAGAGGGCGGGAGAAGAGAAAAAUGAUGUGCAAGAGGCCACAGUUCAUGUGCCAGUGGAGACAAAGAGGCUGCCAGUUGCCACGAUCCCCACAGAUGCUGAAGAUUGGAGCUCUGAAUGAGGGGCUGUGCUUUGAGGAAGCCAUCUUGAUGGAAAGGCUGGCUGCCUGCUUCCUAAAAUGGCUGUGUUGGCAUGAGGGACUCUUUUUAAGGACAUCAUGGAGGUGAUCGGAGAGUAGACCCUAUUCCCAAGUCCCUGGAUCAUUGUCAUAAGGAUCAGCAGCUCUGCUCCAGGAUAUCUAAUGACUGCCUCUGGCUAUCGUGCUGUGGACAAUCAAAACUUUAGCAAAGGAUGCGAUAUUAGAAAACUGAUAUAUACCUUCUUUGAAUAAAUAAUAUGAUGGCUCAAAAUGCUAGCAAAUGAAAAUGUGCCUUACUGUGUGAAAUGUUUACAAUAAAAAAUGUAGUUUACUCUUCAUGACAUUUGAUAGACAAUGUAUAGUUUAUGAAUAUAAGAAGACACUUUCGUUGCUUCUGUUUUAACUGUGCCUUCAGCGCUUCUGUCUCUUUGACAAUAAAUGAUAUGUAUUUCUUUACAUGAUAAAAAUUCUAUACUGUACAUUAAAACAUCUCUUACAGUUUUCGAUGAAAUUUCAGUUGAACAGGAAAUUCUCUUACAUUUUCAUAGUAUUAAAAUGUGCAAUGAAAUUUAGUCUUUUAUGUGCAAUGUGCAAACUUCAGCAGAUGUUACAAAAUUUCAGUUGCUAUACUGUUUAACACUAUGUUUUCUUUAACUAAUACUUUUCUCAAUGUUAGAGAAAUAAAAAUCAAUAAA